rnacentral:rRNA from 1 species
CCUACGGGAGGCAGCAGUAGGGAAUCUUCCACAAUGGACGAAAGUCUGAUGGAGCAACGCCGCGUGAGUGAAGACGGGUUUCGGCUCGUAAAGCUCUGUUGGUAGUGAAGAAAGAUAGUGGUAGUGACUGGCUUUUAUUUGACGGUAAUUAUUUAGAACGUCACGGUUAAAUACGUGCCAGCCGCCGCGGUAAAACGUAGGUGGCAAGCGUUUUCCGGAUUUAUUGGGCGUAAAGGGAGUGCAGGCGGUUCAAUAAGUCUGAUGUGAAAGUGUUCGGCUCAACCGGAAAAUUGCAUCAGAAACUGGUGAACUAGAGUGCAGGAGAGGAGAGUGGAACUCCAGGUGUAGCGGUGGAAUGCGUAGAUAUAUGGAAGAACACCAGUGGCGAAGGCGGCUCUCUGGUCUGCAACUGACGCUGAGGCUCGAAAGCGUGGGUAGCGAACAGGAUUAGAUACCCUGGUAGUC